AAAGAUCAAAAGAACAUGGGAUUGGUGACUGCAAUUUAUCUCUUCAUUUUCUCACACCGUUUUUUGUUAACCUAUGAAAGUGGCACACAACCUACUGGUACGAGGUUGGGUUCUGCACCAUCAAACUCAACAGGAAAGUUGUAGUGGAGGCAGGUUUAGUCCCACAAUGACCUGUCAACAUUCACUUGAAUCUAGAUUGCUCCCAGAAUCAAGUCUAGGAGUGUGACGUUGAGUGAAACAAACGUCCAGAUAUAUCUCCUAUUACGUUUGCUCUUUCCAAAGAUUUUUCUGCUAAAGCCACGCUCCUUUCCCCUACUUCACAGCCAAUCAUCUCCUUGUGCCUCAUGGAAUGCUGACAGACCCCGGUCAUCAUCAGCUGGGAUCAAAACUGGGACCUCAGGAGUUUAAGGCAUGAGCCGCUACCACAUGACCUGAAAGACACCGCUCUCUCAGCCAAGACUGCAGCAGGUUCAUCAAUCGCUACCUGGCCUAGCUGCCACUAGAGGGGGAUGGAGCACUGCAGCACACCACACAGGCAGGGGAUACACUCAGAACACUAUUAAAACAAAAUGUGGAAGACACUCCCAUGUCUCCGAAGACACUCCCAUGUCCAGCCAGGCAGAGCGCUCUAGACUGGGAACCGGAGGGGGCCUGGCCUGGGGGCGGAGCAUGGGCAGGGCCACGCUAGGCUGUUUGGGAAGGCACGGCAUGGGCGGCAGAGUCUGUGGUCUUUGGAGGUUCUCUCGGGGUUUGCGGUGUCAGCGAUCUGCGCAGAGCCGGGGCAGCACACAGAGGGAACACGCACGCAGCCGACUUAUCAGCAUCGAACAAGAGCAGAGCACCACACUGGUAGCGUCUGACGACAUUGGUGACCCCGACCUCUGAUCUGACAUGUACCUGUCGGACAAUCAAAGGAGUUACUUCAUUCCUAUGGACCCCAAAUCAGAAUUCAACAUAUAUAUUUUAUACUAAUAACAUUUUAUCAAAGUAUUAAUCAAAUGUUAACUUGCUAACUUGAGACCAUGGGCGGAGACAUUGUGUAACCUUUUAACCAUUGGCUAUUGUGCUAUCUUGUCUUGCUGCAAAACCUAUCCCGGGGUGUGGAACUGCCUACCCCGUCACCUUCCCCCGCCCAUGGAAAAUCUAUAUAUUUCAUUGUAAUCAAUUGAUUGACAGUGUCUCUGAGCCUAAUAAGCCAGGUGACACUCCGCCAGCACUGUGUGUAAUAAACCCCUAUGCUUUGACCUCUA